GUCGUGCUGAAGAUUCCAACCUUGCAACACUACCAUCUGCAGCUCCUCUAACUGUAAUUGUUUGUGUUUUUGCCAAACCUUCUUUUGAGCACUUCUGGAACUCCCACUUUGCAGGUGUCCAUCCUGUAAUGAUUGACAGGAGCAGAGAACGUGUCACGAUGCAGGGAAAGCUGAAGCUGCCACGACAAAUUGUGUGGGAGUGUACCAGUGUAGGUUGGAAAAAAUACUGGCUUCUCCUGAAAAAGCUUCCCCUUGAGGGUGCCACAGGUCACAGGCAGCGGGUGGAGAGGACAAGCUCGGCUGCUCAUCGUCAGCAACACUAGCCAUGUGCUUUGUUUUCUCCUUCUUCUUCGCCGGGGUCGACGUGGGAGCCAAGCAGUGACUUUCUAUGAAAAAAAUAGGAUGACAGCAGUCUAACGCAUGUUCAACAGGACAUCACUGUGUUAGGAGCCAGCCCAGCUCUUUUCUCUCCUCAAUCCUUCACUCUGUUAGCUUUCCUCAGUGUAUCAACUGAAACUCUGACUGCGCUGCUGUGACAGUGCGGUCAUCAAACUCAGGUGGAAGCACUGAAGCAGUGUAGAAACCCCCACCGCUCAUGAGCUUGCUUUGCAGCCUCUUCAGGGUGGGGCACUGCUCCAGCAGUGUCUCCUGCAACACACACUUCCAGAACAGCUUGAUGUCCUGAGGUUUGGUCUCAGCAAACCGGUCCAGAACGUUGUAAAGGGCUUCCUGCUUCUUCCCGGCAUCCUGUAGACCACUCACUUUCUGCCAACAGACAAAUAGGAGCGUUAAAACACAGGGCAGAGGUCAGUGAAGCUCAUCACACGAUGCUUUAUAAUCUGAUCGUUCACACUCAGAGUCAUUUGAAAAGCUCCACACUCACUGACUUGCUGUGGCGACACUGAUGGGAAAUGCUGAAAGCUGAAGGAAGGAAGUGGAAUCAAUAUGGCACUGAGGAUGUGAGACGUGGUGGAGCUUUUGGACAAGUUCUUUCAAUUCGCCUGACAGCUCCAAUUGGAAAUCGAAAGUGUUUGUGCCACGGCGGGACACACCUUAGCCAGACCUCACGGUGAUAAGCGUUACGUCAGAUGCUUGUCAAAGUCUUACUUCAGAAGGAUAGUUGUGUGUAUGAACUGCACUCUUUUGUUCCUUGAAAACGUUGAGCUUUUGGAGAGACCAACAUCCAUCCGAAUUAUGAAAACAAACAAACCCAAUCUCACCUCAUAUUCAUCCCGCCCGAUGAGGCUGUAGUCUCGCAUUUUGCCGAGCAACAAGUAAGGCCUUUCCAAACAAGACAGCUCGGUUUUAUGACGGCGGAAAAAGUUCAGAAGUUUCCCUGAAUCAAAAGACUGUAAUUGCUCCAUGUCCCUGCUCAAGAUCUUCUUCAACAAGACAUAACCGUGGAGGAAACACUCGCAGUACAUCCACGACUGUGAGCUUAGGACUGAGUCACGCCCAGCAACCAGGAAGCAUAUUUGACUGCCAGGCACAUGGGCGUGAACUGCACCAACCUGAUCACAACUGCCACUAUAUGGAGAUGUUGUUUGCUGUACAAAUGUUCAACGUGCUGUACCUUGUUCCAUGGCAAACAAUGAAGUCCACACAAACGGAUCAUAUUCUCUGUAGCACCCUUCCAAAACACCACAUGCUCAUGUUGGCAGAGCUUAACCACCUGCAAGGCGGUUGCUAGCUAACGGUCCAAGGCAGAACCUGGCUCAGCAAGGAGCAGUGAAACAGCCACUCAACUGAAGAUCAUCAUCUAAGGUUGGUCUUUGCUUCCAGGGCCGCGGCUAGCAAGUCCAUCACCCAAGGCUCGAUGCUGCAGAAGGCUGAAUUGUUUCAGGUGUGUCCAGUGAAACCAGACAGUAGUUUGCUGAGGCCGUCGCUUCAGCUCAGAGAAAUGCAAGACCAACUGGGUUCAUCAAGACGUCGGCUGAGUUUAUUGAGCUCCCACUAGAUCCUGCUAUUCUAAACAACAUUGAAGACCAUGUCAAACUUCCUGUUAAACAUCUGCUGGAGUUGGGGCUCCUUCUGACCCUGGGAGAGACAAAACCACAGUGAGCAGUUGAUGACAUCAUGAGAGGACAGGAGAGCUGAUACACCACAGUGACUCAG